UGGGGAAUAUUGCACAAUGGGGGAAACCCUGAUGCAGCGACGCCGCGUGAACGAAGAAGGUAUUCGUAUCGUAAAGUUCUGUCCUAUGGGAAGAUAAUGACAGUACCAUAGAAGAAAGCUCCGGCUAAAUACGUGCCAGCAGCCGCGGUAAUACGUAUGGAGCGAGCGUUGUCCGGAAUUAUUGGGCGUAAAGGGUACGCAGGCGGUUUAAUAAGUCGAAUGUUAAAGAUCGGGGCUCAACCCCGUAAAGCAUUGGAAACUGAUAAACUUGAGUAGUGGAGAGGAAAGUGGAAUUCCUAGUGUAGUGGUGAAAUACGUAGAUAUUAGGAGGAAUACCAGUAGCGAAGGCGACUUUCUGGACACAAACUGACGCUGAGGUACGAAAGCGUGGGGAGCAAACAGG
rnacentral:rRNA from 8 species